CGGGUGACCUAUCCAUGAGCAGGUUGAAGUGGAGGUAAAGCUCCAUGGAGGACCGAACCAGACGUCUGUUGAAAAAGGCGGGGAUGACUUGUGGAUAGGGGAGAAAUUCCAAUCGAACCCGGAGAUAGCUGGUUCUCCUCGAAAUAGCUUUAGGGCUAGCCUCAUGGAUCAUUGGUGGGGGUAGAGCACUGAAUGUGCGCGGGGGCCACAAAGCCUACCAAACGCUAUCAAACUUCGAAUACCAUACAAUGCAGACCAUGGGAGUCAGUCCGCGAGAGAUAAGUUCCGCGGGCAAAAGGGGAACACCCCAGAUCAACCGCUAAGGUCCCCAAGUUCACGUUAAGUGGAGAAGGAUGUGGAAUUGCACAGACAACCAGGAUGUUGGCUCAGAAGCAGCCACACAUUUAAAGAGUGCGUAAUAGCUCACUGGUCGAGUGAUUGUGCGCCGAAGAUGUCCGGGGCUAAACGUGACACCGAAGCGAUGGGUGCAUCUGAAAGGAUGCGCGGUAGAGGAGCAAUGUGCAGAGGCAGAAGCCGUAUCGAGAGGCACGGUGGACACUGCACAAGAGAGAAUGCCGGUAUGAGUAGCGAGAGGCAUGCGAGAAACAUGCCCGUCGAAAGCCCAAGGUUUCCUGGGGAAGGUUCAUCCGCCCAGGGUAAGUCGGGGCCUAAGCCGAGGACGGAAGUCGUAGGCGAUGGACAGCAGGUGUAGAUUCCUGCACUACCGAUGGAAUGAAGCAGUGACACAGAAGGAUAACUCGAGCAGGGUGAUGGUCAACCCUGUGCAAGCAUCAAGGUUGGGUUGUAGUGAAGUACGCAAUCCUAUAAGCUGAGGUGUGAUGCGGACCGAAAUUUCAGUAGGGAAGCGAGUGAGUUCACGCUGGCGAGAAAAGCUGCUAGUACAUCCAAAGGUACCCGUACCGGAAACCGACGCAGGUGGGCGAGGAGAGAAUCCUGAGACGAACGGGAGAACCCUUGUUAAGGAACUCGGCAAAAUGACCCCGUAACUUCGGGAUAAGGGGUGCCUGCGAGAGCAGGCCGCAGAGAAUAGUCACAAGCGACUGUUUAGCAAAAACACAGGUAUCUGCGAAAGCGAGAGCUGACGUAUAGGUGCUGACACCUGCCCGGUGCUGGAAGGUUAAGGGAACAUGUUAGAGCAAUCGAAGCAUCGAACCGAAGCCCCAGUAAACGGCGGCCGUAACUAUAACGGUCCUAAGGUAGCGAAAUUCCUUGUCGGGUAAGUUCCGACCCGCACGAAUGGUGUAACGACUUGUGAGCUGUCUCAACAGGGGGCCCGGUGAAAUUGAAGUAUGGGUGAAGAUGCCCAUUACCCGCGACUGGACGGAAAGACCCCGUAGAGCUUUACUGCAGCCUGAUAUUGAGUUUCGGUAACUGAUGCACAGGAUAGGUGGGAGUCUGAGAGACAUGGGUUUCGGCUCGUGUGGAGACGAUGUUGGGAUACCACUCUUCGGUUACUGAAAUUCUAACAUAGCUCUGUGAAACCAGAGGAUGGACAGUGUCAGGUGGACAGUUUGACUGGGGCGGUCGCCUCCGAAAGA
rnacentral:rRNA from 1 species